UGGGGAAUAUUGGACAAUGGGCGCAAGCCUGAUCCAGCCAUGCCGCGUGAGUGAUGAAGGCCUUAGGGUUGUAAAGCUCUUUUACCAGGGAAGAUAAUGACGGUACCUGGAGAAUAAGCCCCGGCUAACUUCGUGCCAGCAGCCGCGGUAAUACGAAGGGGACUAGCGUUGCUCGGAAUCACUGGGCGUAAAGCGCACGUAGGUGGAUCGUUAAGUCGGGGGUGAAAUCCUGGAGCUCAACUCCAGAACUGCCUUCAAUACUGGCGAUCUUGGAGGCCGGGAGAGGUGAGUUGAACUGCGAGUGUAGAGGUGAAAUUCGUAGAUAUUCGCAAGAACACCAGUGGCGAAGGCGGCUCACUGGCCCGGUACUGACACUGAGGUGCGAAAGCGUGGGGAGCAAACA
rnacentral:rRNA from 1 species